CCUACGGGAGGCUGCAGUGGGGAAUAUUGGACAAUGGGGGAAACCCUGAUCCAGCGACGCCGCGUGGGUGAUGAAGGCCUUCGGGUUGUAAAGCCCUUUCGUCCACGAUGAUGAUGACAGUAGUGGAAGAAGAAGCUCCGGCUAACUUCGUGCCAGCAGCCGCGGUAAUACGAAGGGGGCUAGCGUUGCUCGGAAUUACUGGGCGUAAAGCGCACGUAGGCGGCCAUAAUAGUCAGAUGUGAAAGGCCUGGGCUCAACCCGGGAAUUGCAUUUGAUACUGUAUGGCUAGAGUCCAAGAGAGGGUAGUGGAAUUCCCAGUGUAGAGGUGAAAUUCGUAGAUAUUGGGAAGAACACCAGUGGCGAAGGCGGCUACCUGGCUUGGAACUGACGCUCAGGUGCGAAAGCGUGGGGAGCGAACAGGAUUAGAUACCCCUGUAGUC
rnacentral:rRNA from 1 species